GAUGAACGCUAGCGGCAGGCUUAAUACAUGCAAGUCGAGGGGCAGCACGGUUAGCAAUAACUGGUGGCGACCGGCGCACGGGUGCGUAACACGUAUACAAUCUACCUUAAACAGGGGGAUAGCCUUUCGAAAGAGAGAUUAAUACCCCGUAAUAAAUUGAACGGCAUCGUUUGAUUUUGAAAGCUCUGGCGGUUUGAGAUGAGUAUGCGUCUGAUUAGCUAGUUGGUGAGGUAACGGCUCACCAAGGCGACGAUCAGUAGGGGAUCUGAGAGGACUAACCCCCCACACUGGUACUGAGACACGGACCAGACUCCUACGGGAGGCAGCAGUAAGGAAUAUUGGUCAAUGGAGGCAACUCUGAACCAGCCAUGCCGCGUGCAGGAUGACGGCCCUAUGGGUUGUAAACUGCUUUUAUACAAGAGAAAACCCUGGUACGUGUACCAGGUUGAUAGUAUUGUAAGAAUAAGCAUCGGCUAACUUCGUGCCAGCAGCC
rnacentral:rRNA from 1 species